rnacentral:rRNA from 1 species
AUUGAACGCUGGCGGCAUGCCUUACACAUGCAAGUCGAACGGCAGCACGGGAGCAAUCCUGGUGGCGAGUGGCGAACGGGUGAGUAAUAUAUCGGAACGUGCCCGGUCGUGGGGAUAACGUAGCGAAAGCUACGCUAAUACCGCAUACGAUCUACGGAUGAAAGCGGGGGAUCGCAAGACCUCGCGCGAUUGGAGCGGCCGAUAUCAGAUUAGGUAGUUGGUGAGGUAAAGGCUCACCAAGCCGACGAUCUGUAGCUGGUCUGAGAGGACGACCAGCCACACUGGGACUGAGACACGGCCCAGACUCCUACGGAGGCAGCAGUCGGGAAUUUUGGGACAAU